UACGGGGGGUGCAAGCGUUAUCCGGAUUCACUGGGUUUAAAGGGUGCGUAGGCGGGCAGGUAAGUCAGUGGUGAAAUCCUAGAGCUUAACUCUAGAACUGCCAUUGAUACUACCUGUCUUGAAUAUUGUGGAGGUAAGCGGAAUAUGUCAUGUAGCGGUGAAAUGCUUAGAUAUGACAUAGAACACCUAUUGCGAAGGCAGCUUACUACGCAUAUAUUGACGCUGAGGCACGAAAGCGUGGGGAUCAAACAGG
rnacentral:rRNA from 1 species